UUUUAGAAACCAAAAUAAUUAGUUGCAAUAGUAACUAAAUUAGAGACCAUUUUAGAAACUAAAAAGAAUUUUGGUUUCUAAAUUAGUUUCUAUUAUUGUUAAAUAGUUUCUAAAUUAGUACCUACUUAACAACCAAGGUUUUAGAGACCAAAUUUAGAAACUAAAUAAUUGGUAGUUAAAACCUUGGUCGCUAAUUAGAUAUCAAUUUAGAAACUAUUUAACAAUAAUAGAAACUAAUUUAAAAACCAAUUUUUUUUUAGUUUCUAAAAUGGUUUUCAAUUUAGUUACUAUUGCAACUAAUUAUUUUGGUAUCUAAAAAUUGGUUUCUAUUUCAUUAUUUUCUUGUACUGUAUUUCUUACUCCAAUCCUAUCAAUUAACACUUUUUAAGAAUAAAUUAUAAUGGAGUACUCACUUUUAAAAUCGAUAAUACCUUAAAUGUGAUGAUUGAUUUUUUAUCAUAAAAAAAAAUUAUGAAUUAACAAAAAAUAUAACAUAAACUUGAUUAUAAAUCCUGUAUUUUUGGCUUUAUAAUAAUUAUUAAUCUUAUUUAAUACAUUUUUUCAAUAUGUUUUUUAUUUAUAUUUUCAGAAAGUAUUACUAAAAAUAUAGUAUAAGAUUACUCUUGAAUAUAAAUAUAGGCCAAAAAGUAAGAGAGAGGUUGGGUUUUUGAGAGUAUGUAUGUUGCUAUGCAUUGAUCCAUUUUACAAUCUUAAAAUGAUGAUCUUACAGAUGGAUGCUAUGGGCUUCCUUCUCUUAUUUAAUGCUCAACUCCUUUGCCAAACAAUCCCUCUCUACUCAUUCAACUAGACUUGGUCUUGCUUUUUAUCAUCAUAUCUAAAAAUGAUACCAACCAUAUAAUUCUAUAUUUUUAAAAGGAAAGUUAUAUAUGGGUGUAAUAUUUUCUAGUUAUUAUCAUGUUCAUUGAUUUAGUUUAUUUAAUCCAGAAUACAAUACAAAUAAUCAAUUCUACAAGUUAAAUAAUUAUGAGUAAAUAAAUUAUUAAAUAUAUAACAUGCAAUAAAUUUAUGGACAAAAUGAAGUAAAAAGAAUAAUGUACCUUCCAAGAUUAGGGAGUUGUUGCCUCCGCUUUAUUGAGUUAAUUUCUUUCACAAUAUAAUACAAAAUUUUACUCCAAGAGUUAAAUAAAUUGAAAACUUUUCACAUAAACAAAAUAAAUGCAAAAUUCUACUAGUUAAAGUUUUUUAGUAAAUACUUUAUAAAUUAAUUCAAGUAAGAAUUAUAUAGAUAAGAUGAAGAAGAAAAAAAGAUAAAGUAUUUUUAAAGAUUUAAUGGUUAUUGUCACAUUCCUUUAUUUACUUUAUUUCUUCUUCAUGAGAAUGAGAAAGAAUGUUCAAGAAGUUAAAUAAAUUGAAGAUUCUUUCAAGUAACAAAAUAAAUAAAUAAAAAUUUUAGGUUAAAGAAUUAUGAGUAAAAAAAUUAUUUCAAGUAACAAAUUUAUAAAAAAGAAUAAUGUUAGUGUCUUACUCCAUGAAACAAAAGAAUGCUCCAAAAGUACACUAAAUUGUGUUUUUUUUAACAACAUAACAGAAUUAUUAACAAUAAAUACUGAUGAGAAUUUUUUCAAAGCAACAGAAUUAUAUGAAAAAAAAAACAAAAACUCUAAACGUUACAAAUUUAUGAAAAGAUAAUUUAUAAACUAAUUCAAGUAAAAUUUUUAUAGAAAUAAAAUAGAAAAAUAUAUCACACCUUUAAUGAAUUUAAAUCUAUUGCGACUUAUCUCGUGUUAGUUCAUUUGUUCCAUGAUACUAUGCACACAAAAAUAUUUAAAGUAACAAACAAAAUUUGAAAAGAAAUACAAAAUUGUGUGAAAUAUAAAAUCGUUAGUAAAUAAAUUAUAAAUCAUUCAAUUAAUAAAUAUAAAUUUUUUUAUAAAAGAUAACAUACCUUAAAGAUUUCCUAACUAAUACCCUUUUUCUUAAGUUAGUGAUUUGCUGCACAACAAUGUACUCUAAAAAAUAAAUAAAUAAAAAGUAUUUUCGAAAGUAACAAACCUUAAACAAAUACAAAAUCUACAAGUUACAUAAUUAUGAGUAAAUAAGUUAUAAAUUAUUUUAAGUAAUUCAUUUGUAAAUAAAAUUAACAAAUUUUCAAGAAACAAAUUUAUUAAAUUUAGGUCUCAUUGACUGACCUAGAUUAAAAUUAGUUAAAUAUCAAAAUAAUGUUUGAAUGAAGAAUAGUCUUGUUAAUAUAAUAUGGUAUAAUUAUCUCAAAUAUAUAAUGAAGAGUUUAUAUAUAUAUAUAUAUAUAUAUAUAUAUAUUAAUGGUAUUAUUGACAUAUCUCAAAUAUAUAAUAAAAAAAAUUGAUAUUUUAAUAUUUGGAUAAUUAUUUUAAAAUUCUGAGGCGUGUUUGCUUGGAACCAUUAUAUUCUAUUAUAUUCUCCAUCUUUUUCCUUUGGACUCAUUACACAUGGAAUAUAUAAAAAAUAAACAAUGUCCAACAAUUCAAAAACCAUAGCAUAGUUGCUGCCAACUGUGAGUAAAUUUUAUCAUUAUAAACCUUACCACUUUUGCAUUUCAUAAUCCCAUAAUGAUUAAUACAAAUGUGAAAAACUAUGUUGCAUGCAUCAUUUAAUAAUGUGAUUAUGAUCCUUAAACUUGUCCAAUGAAGAAGCAAGAGUAAUAUCAACAUCUCACACAAAAGGACAAUGGACUUUCAUGUGACUUUUUCACUAUUGAAAAUUGGAAUUUUGAUGUCAAGUUGUUUUAUAGCACAGCACAUUUCAUUGGCCAAGGCUUGUAAACACCAAGAAAAUAUCAUAUGUCUUCAACCAUGUUAGCUUAUACAUAAUACUUUUCAUUAUUAAGCCUCUAAAAACAACCUUGUAACUAAUUUAGAAUCUAAAUAAUUGAUAGCAAAAAUUUUGAUAAUUAAUUAGAUACUAAUUUAAAAAUCAUUUAACGAUAAUAUAAACUAAUUUAGAAACAAAAAUUUUUUUAAUUUCUAAAAUGGUCUCUAAUUUAGUCAUAACUAAUUAUUUUUUUAUCUCUAAAUCUGGUUUCUAUUUUCUUGUAGUGAGCAUCCCAAAAACUAUGAAAGAACACAAUGAUAGUUUGAUAUUUGAACUAUCUAAGAAGAUGCAUACGAGGGUGUAUAAAGAAAUGGCCCAGAUGAAGUUAAGGUGAAAGCCCAUUUUUAUAGGUUUGGAAAUUGUGUCUGGCCCACUAAAACAAGAACAAGCUACAACAAAGAUCCUUUCCAUGAAUGAGUAAGUGUACUUCCACACAGGAAACAAAACAUUGAAUCCAUGAAACUCUGUCUUCCAUUAUUGUUCUAUUAAAAUUGACUUUUUGAUAAUACUCUUCCAAGAUCCACCAGUUCAAGACAACACAGGGUAAUAUUCUUUGAAUCCCAUGUCAUUGAAAUUCAGUUUUUCAACUCUUCAUUCAACAUUUUCUCUCUCAAUAUCUUAAAGAAAAGUGAUGUUUAAGACAUUAAAUUAACACUGAUUAAGAUUUGUAUUGAGGUUUGUAGGUAGCAUAUGUUGAUUCUAACAUUAAAAAAAGGAAAAGAAUGUUAGGUUUGUAGUGUAGAAGCAGUCUCUGCCCCUUGCAUUGAAGUGUCAACACCUAUGGUUGCACCCAGAUCAAGUGGCAUGACUGAACUUUCAUGUCUCAACCCUCGCAUCUUGUGGAAAAGCACCAUAUCUCGAGGAAUCAAUAAUACAUUAUCAAACCUUCACACCUUUUUAUAGCUUUUUAUUUCAGACUCACCUUCUUCCUCUUUUUGCAUGCUACAUUACCCAACUUUUGCAUACAAAAACAAUUUUAACCUAUGAGGCAAGAGCUAUGUGAACUAAUAUCAUUCUAAUUGGUUGGUUCCCAAAUUUGAAACCUUUAUCUACUUAUCACCAUUUCGCCCUCAAGGUAUAAAGAACACCGUCUCUGCUUUGCAAUUGCUCUAUCUCUUUAAGAUUCUCUGAAAUUAUGAAGAGAUUUGAGGGACCAGUGUGAGUGGUAGAUUACCAAGUUCCUCUUGUGCCAUUAAAUACCCCCAUUGUCUUGGACCUUGGUUUUGGUGAGCAAAGUCAUCAUUCACUUAACUUAACCUAUACCUCUUAUAUUGACAACUUGUUCCAGUAUACAAUUUGUGAUUCAUGAUAUAAAGAAAGGAUAUUUUCGUCACUUUAUAUAAAAAAUUUAAAUUUUAGAAAAAAAAAUAGAGUUGUAAACUGGUACAAGUUGUCCAUAUAUCACUUCUUUAACUUAUAUAUUUUAAAAGAAAAUGUUAUUUUUACAAUUACAGAGUAAUCAACUUUUCAAAAUUUAUUUAUUUAUUCACAUGUUUUCACAUUUUACGAGAAAAAUUAUAAAUAAAAUAUAUUGAUAGCUCACAUUUUUUAUACGUUACAAUCUCAAUAUUAUUAUUUUAAUAUUUUUUAUAUUAUUUAAUUAUAAAUUUACUCUUUAUUAUAUAUAUUUAUAUCUAAAUUUAUCAGAGUUGAUUUAAAAUAUCAUUUGUCAUAAAUUAAUUCUAGUACUAAUUUUACUAGAUAUAAUAUAUAAUAAUUUAUUAUUGAAUUGUCAAUAUAUCAGUGCUCUUCUAUAAAUUAGAGUUUCGCAGAACAAUUUAUUGUUGAGUUAUCAACCUAUCAUGACUUUUCUACUAAUUUUGCAGAGGACCACUCAAUUAGUAUAUACUUCCAUUAAAGGGAAUAACUAAUGGUUCAUGGUUCAUGCAUAUAACUUUUCCGAGGUUUAUGUCACAAAAAGUGCUUUCUGGGUGGCUAUGACUAGAGGAUUUAGAGAACACCAAAACAAAGAAAAGGUUAGUGAAUUAGCCUUUUUGACUCCUUCAUAAGAAAAGAUUAUGGCUGCUAUCUUUGGAUAAAAGCUGGAACUUUUUUGUUGUCAAUGUUAAUUUACAAAUUCUAAUGCACCAAAGGAAAAAAAAAACUAUCUUAACAGUUAAAAAGUGCUUAUGAGUUCCUUUAAGUGAAAUCUGAACAUGCCCUGAAUUAACAAACUCUGUAAACUUGUGUUUAGAUGAGUUUUAAAAAGGAAGAAGCUGUAACAAGCAUGCAUGUUGAGAACAAAAUAGACCAAGCCAAAAAUACUUGAAGGCAAAAACACAGAGCUGAUGAGUGAGCUCCAUGUGUUAUGAAAGCUACUAUACAUGACUUAGUCCAUUGAAUUUGAAUGCAUCAUAAUCUAUUGCCAUGCAUGCUUGCUUAAUAACUUUAACUUUUAAUUGUAUAUAAUAUAUUAAAAUUAAAAUACGUCCCACCUCUGUACAAUAUUCUUCUGAGCAUUUUUUGUUUGAGAACAUUCAUUGUGUUUUUGUUAUCUCUUGCUUUUGCUACUGUUUUUCCUUGCCAUUUUAAAAUACAUAACUUUCUCUGACUUCAUAUUUCAAAGAAGCAAUCUUUUAUUGAUUUAAAAAAUGGGAAUUCAAUUGAUUUUUAUCAUCCAAGUAAAAUUAAAAAAUGAAAUUACUUUCUUAUUAGAAAAAAAAUCACAACUAUUCUGCACAGUCUAGUUUAAUACUAGAUGUUGUGUUAUAUCAUGAAACCGGAAGUUCGAAUUUUCGGUCACCCAACUCUUAUAUAAAACAAGAUUAGAUAUACAUUGAAUUUGUCUUAAUCAUUCUCAUAUGAUAAGACUCAAUAGAACAAUAUACAUAAGGUCCACCUCACAUCCUAAGUUAAGAGCAUUAUUCUCAAUUAGGAAUUAUAAAGCAAGAUUAAACGGACAUUGAGAUUGUCUUAAUCAUUGUGACAGUAUAAGGUCCACUAGAACAAUAUAAAUAAGAGAGAAUCUUACAGGGAAAAGAUAAUGUUAUUUUGAAUUCUGAACUAGACUAUCAAAAUUGACAUCUUCUAACUUGAACGUCUGAAUAUUUUUACAGGUAACCAUCCACUCGGACAUCCAAGGAAAGUAGACAGAAUUGAAGAGAAGACAGGAACCAUUCGAUAGGAAUACUCAAUCUUGGAUAAAUUAUAAGAACACUGUGUAGAUGAAUUUGUGUCCUGAAGCAACCCAGAAAGUUAAACAGGUAGCAGAGACAUGCAUGAAUAUAACCUUUCAUAUUACUACAUUGAGUACAUGAUUAAUGUGGAGGUUAUGCGUUUUGCAGAAUGUGGUUUAGUUUAUGAAGAAAAAUUGAAGAAAAAGAAAGUGGAAGAGGGUAGAGAUAGGUAGGAGCUUAUCCUUGUGUAUGGAGUGAUGAAAACGGUACUUCACUGUUCCACCAAUCAGACGAAACACGAUCCUUCAAAUGCCCAACCAGAGAAAAGAUAUAUGAAAACAGUAGGACCUGUUUGAAAUGCUACAAAAACAUGCAGAAAAAAACAAUGUGGUAUGGUGAUAUCGUCGUACGGGUUCCAGGUAGGCAACUACAACCUUUUGGAAUGUUGCUCUGAGCAAAGGUUGGGAAAACCCAACUCUGAAUACCUCACAAACUGAAUACAAUAAAAUAUUUUUUGGUGAGACACAGAAAAUUUAACUCUUUCUCCCUCUUGCCAGAUUCUUCUCAGUCUUACAGAUUACGUCAGUGAUAAGUGAUGACCACUACUUUUUUAGAUACCUGUGAACACUUAUCUCUAACGCCAAAAAUUUGAGUCUAACUUGGAUGGAAUACCAAAAACCCCAUCAAGAAAAGAGCCUCAUCAUCCAAUAGACUUUCUUCAUGCACACUACUGACAUGAAUUACCAAGUUCAAAUUAAACUAUUGCUGCAACCUUGUCUUACUUCAUGUCAUGCAUUUGGGAGGGUGAGCAACUCAUAGUUGAGUGUUAAGCUAAGAUAAACUAUGUCAUUUCCAACAUUUUAAGGUUGUGUUUGAUGUCACUGUGUGUGUGCCUUCAAAACAUAAAUCACUUCCCCUAAAAUCAAUUUCACUGAUGUUUAGGGUUUAAAUUUAUGAUUGAGAUCAAGGUGGUGAUUUUGCAAAUACCAAAACAUUUGUUAUUGUUGGUCAUCUUCAUGUAGACUAAACCCAAUAGAAAAGUCAAAAUUUUCCAUUAAGUUUAACCACCCAACAUUUUAUGUUUCAAAUGUUGUUUUUCUGUCAAGGCAAUUAUUAUAUUUUGCAGGAUGAACCCCAAAAGAAGUUACUUUUGUAGACCUAUUAAAAAUACUAAAAUUUACUCAAUACUUAAUAGGGAAUAUGUUGGUAAACAAAAAAACUAAAUUAUACAUUUUCCUCAUACCCAUAAAUAGUUUCUUUUGAUUCAAAAACAAUAAAUGAUUACAAGAAUCUUAUCAAUAAUAAACUUCUCAAAUUCUACCAAAUUUCCAAAAUAUUCAACCCACUUAACCUAAUUUGGGAACUUGGAACUUUUAUAAACAGAGUAAUGUGUUGUUUUAAUUAAUUGUCCAUCUAAUGCACAUUAAAGUGAAACUAAGAUUAAACUUGACAGUUCAACUAGUAGAUUGACCAAUUAGAAUAUACUUUAAACUGAGUUAUUUCUUAUGCCAAAUACUUGCAAUACACAUACUAAUACACUUACACUAAUACAAUCUGAAAGUCAUUGGUGUUAUGCUCAUUAAAACAGAAAGUGAACUAAUCAUUUUUGUGAAUCUUGAUAAAUUUUAAAAGAGUUUGCUAUUAGCAUUUUUCAUCAUUUAUUUAAUGUUAUGUCAUUUAUCAAUGUCAAGCUUUAAACUUAUCAAGAUUAGUUGUUACCCAUAACUUUAGUCAGUCUUUGUAUACCUAACACCUACCUGACUUCAGUCAUUUUGAUUCUAAGUUCAUUAAUGGUUGUAUACAACAUACAAAAUACAAAAUGCUGAUUGAAACUAUGUUGAAAAAAUUCCUAUGCAUUAAUAAGCUUCACAAAAUGAUGCUCCUAUCAAGCAAAUCAAUUCUUCUUUUUGGAACCAGAUUCUUUUUAAACCGAUCCCCUUCACUGAAUGUGGGUUAUGGCCAAUAAAAUCUCCUUGUAUGCUUCAUUUCAUGGUUCCAAAGCCAACGAGUCACGAGACCUUCUAACUUUUGCUAAUUCAGAUUCCCUGAUCAGCUAUAACCCACUAGCUUGAGCAAUAUAUAAGCAUAGCACCAGCUGCAUAUUCUCACACAAACUUUCCCUUCAACUAAAAAAACUUCUUUGUUCUUUUCUCUUUACCAUUAAUCUUUCUCUUCCUUUCUAGCUAGCAAAGUAAAACAUUACCAUCCCUCUUAGGCUCUAGUGAGACAACAACCUAGAUUAUCAUCACUCAUGGCCUCAAGCUCUAUCAGCAAACAAAAGCCUUCUGACUCCUCUUGGACACCAAAACAGAACAAACUGUUUGAAAAAGCUCUUGCAAAAUAUGAUAAGGAUACCCCAGACCGGUGGCAGAAUGUGGCCACAGCAGUAGGUGACAAAUCUCCAGAUGAGGUUAAGAGACACUAUGAAAUCCUCUUGGAGGACCUCAGACACAUAGAGUCUGGCCAUGUUCCUCUCCCCAAAUACAGGUCCACUGGAAGCAGCACCAAUGUUGAUGAUGAAGAGAGGUAAUGCAUCUUCCUAACCAAAUCUCUCUUUCUUUCCAAUUUUUGUAAUAUACUAUAUGAUAUGCAUGCCAUUAACCAACUACCUUUUCACAUUAACCUUCUCAAUUUGUAAUCUUUCUCAUGCAUGCAUUGUUCCACUGUUUGUCCCUCUUUAAUAUAUGUGAUGUGAGACAAAGGGGUUGACUAGAACAACCAUCACACACAAAUGGUUGCAAAACCAUAUUUUAUAAGGUUAGUAUAAAAAGUAGCAGCAGCUGAUGACUUCUGCAGCAUUGCUCUGCAACUGGGUCACUGUUUAGCAAGAAAAAAAGCACAAAUCACAAACUAAAACCAUUGACAUUUCUUUUCUGUUUUCAUAAGCCAUUGAAUAGAAAAAUUACUUGUUAUACACCUUAAGUUUCAAAAUUCUACACUCAACUAUUUAGCCACCUAACUCAUGCAAUUAGGUGUAGCUGCUUUCACUCACACCAUUUUUAUGUCAAUAUAUUUUUUAAAACUUGUGGCAGAACCCAGGUAACAAAAUUCUUGUGGACCCAAUUUACUAUGCACAAAUUUUAACUGUCAAAAUUUAAGUAUUUAUGAAAAGUUAAAGCUAAAGAGUCCGUAGCAAUAAUCUUACUUUUCCUUGACUGGACAAUAUUAUGCCACAUUGCAAUAGUUUCCAAAUACUUGAACACUUGAACAGAACAAAAGCAGUGAUGAGUCCCACUCACUUGAAUAAACAACGUGGUCAUUUUGUGACAACAAAUUGAGUGUGUAAUAUCAUAAGUUUUCUUGCAUUCUGCAUUAAUUUUUGUCACAAUUUUGUUGUUCCUGUCAUUUAGAUAUUUUCUAAUCUGCACAUGUUUCAUUUCAUUUGAACUAUUUGAUUGUUCCAGACUUCUGAAGUAUCUUAAGCUGAAUUGAUGGGAAGAAAAAAUGUUUGUGCUAUCCUCAGCUAUUGGCAGCAUUUAUGUGGUGUUCCUUGAUUCUGCAGAAAUAUCUUCCUUGCUAUCUCUCUCUACCUUGUUUCUCUAUGUUCUCUUUCCUACCAUUGUAAUUUAGAUUGUUUCAAAUUUUCAAUGAAUUAUCCUGUUGCAGAAAACAAUGUCAGAUAUUCUCCUACACCCUUUAAAAAGAUUAAAAAAUGUUUUGCUGGAUUAUAAUCACAUUGAGAUUAUAUAAUUUGUGCAUGAUCAGAAGAAUAAAAUAAUUAAACAAAUUGCUUUAGAGGUUGUACAGUUUAUCAGAAAGAAGAUAAAAAGAGAAAAGUGAAAAGUAACUUGAUUUUGCAUCGUAGUACAAAAGUACCAAACUCAUUAAUAUUCCCUCGUAUAAAUCAAACUGAGUGCAGCUUUACCUCAUCCUCAUGUGAAACUUUUGGUUGUGUUCAAGAUUGUAGAGGACUUUAACAUGGAUUUGAGCUUUUUCUUCCUGCUUUUCAAAUCAAUUAUUCCAAAUUGCACGAGUUAAAAUUGCAUAUUUUAGAAGAUGAAUAAUAAUAUUUACAAAACAAUUUAUACACAUUAAAAUCUUUAAUUGUUUAUUUAGUUAGUUUAGAUUGUUUUAAAAUUCAGAUUAAACAAAAAAGUAAAGUUCAAAUAAUAUUUUGUCUUCAUUUUCACUUAUUUCUAAUUAAUUUUGACUAAUUCUUGUUCUUAUUGGUGAGAUGUUUCAAUUGUUUGGAGUUCAAAAUAUUACCUAAUCAAUUCUAAAGUGUACAGUCCAAUUCAAUUUUUAAAACAAUACUCAGAACUUGCAAAUUUUUUGACAAGAUUUCAAAUUUUUCUAGAAAUUGAAAUUUGGGCUUUUGGUAGAAAUUUUGCUUUUAGGAUUGAAAAAAAAAAUAGUAUUUAUAAAUAUAGGUAAUCCCUUUUUUUCCAAAAAAAAAAAUUGCAUAUCAAACUUUUCAAGACAGGACAAGAUUGACUAUUCUUUAAAGUUAGUGUCACAGGUUGAUUAGACAUUUAAUACAAAUAAAGAGAAACUAUUAAUUAUAAUGCGGGUAUACUUUUUUCAAUUUUAAUUAAUUUAUUUAUAUUUAAUAAUAUUAUUUUAAAAAUAUCUAUAAAUAAUUUUGAUGAUAUCGAUUUAAAAUAUUUUAUUUUUUAUUUAUAACUACUUAGUUUAGUUAUCGAAGUAAAAUAUGUAUUAGUUGAUGAAUUAUAUAAAAGUAUCUAUAAUGUUGCACUUAAGCUUUCUCAACAAAAGAAAGUAAUGCAUUUGAUUUAACUAUAAACAUAAAAUAUUUAACCAACAAAAAUUAUGUAUUUACUUUCACGGAAGAAAAAGUUGAGUACUGAAAAAUUCAAUUCAAGUGAUAAAAAAAUAUGGAAAAUAUAUUUUAGACCUAAAUGCCACAUUUUGAUAAAUGAUUUUGGAUGUAGAACAAAACUUUAAACAUGAUUUAAAUGUUGUAAACAAAAAUACUUUGUAUGAAAUUUAAGAGAAAAAUCCUAUUGGUUUAUUUUUAAAUUCUUGUAAUUUUUUUAUGGUUUAAUAGUUUACUUUAAAAGUUAAUUUUGAUACUAUUUUAGUAUUUUUUAAAAUUUCAAUUAAAACUUACUAUUUUUUAGACGUAAUAAUCUAAUUAUUUCUAUCAAAUUGACCAAAUACCUCUUUUAGAACAGGUGAAGAUAUGAGAAACAUGAUGUGUUCAAAUCUAUGCUGAUUCCAUUGUUUGUUUAAGAAUUCUUCAACAGAAAAAAAGCGUGUCCAUCAUGUUCAACAUGUUUCAGCUUGAUAUACUGUGCCAAUAUACUGUGACAUGCUAAACAUACAUGGCAAUAUUCAAGUUCAAUCUUCUAGAUAUGAAAGAACUGUGAAAAGUUUGUCUUGAGUUGUGAAAAGUCUGAGCCAUUUUCUGAUUUAUGUGUGACAUGAUCAAGUUAGCAAAAUUCAGCAUCAAGAUACAUUUAACUUCAACCCUUUUCAGAAAAUGCAUUUACAAAGUGAAGAAGUUGAAGAUACCUUGCCUUUAAAAGCUAUGUUGCAGACAUCAUAAUCAUAAUUCAUAUACACUGCAAUUACUUACACGCAAAACAGUUUCUCUCAAGUGACCAAAACUAAGACUAAUAUAAACUUCAAUUACCUGAAAGUAGCUUAUCAUUGCUUCAAAAACCUGUUUACAUUGUCCUUGAUUCCAUUCAUUCACUACAUCAUCAUGGUUCAAAUCCAAGAUGAAACAAGAAGACAAUGCCUAAGUGUUUGGGUUGUGGGGGUGUUAUAGCAAUUGACCUUGUAAAGAACUUGUUUCAGCUUCAAGGAACAGUUAAGCAGUAGUGGUCAGCAUAGAGAUCAUCUCUCUGAACUGCUACUUGGUGAACAAGAGGGUCAUGCUGAUACCAAAAUUGCUUGUUAAGGGUUGGUGGGGACAGCAAUUCUGCUUUCAAAAGGGUUUUGGAAAGUUUUGAGUGGGUAUGAACUUGUUCAUCAUGUGAGGACUCAAUGGUACACAUGACAACUCAUUGAAAGAUUUUCAAUAAGUGUAAGAUUCAGAUGGAAAACUCUGGUGUGUUUGUCAAGGGACCUCAUGGCUGUUUUUGGUGAAGUCAACUGCAUCACAACUUGGUGAAGCUUCUCUUCCUUUUUAAUUUAUUGGCCAAGAAGCUAUUUGAAUUUAAGAACAAAAUUUCAAGCAUGUAUUUUACCAUUUCUGCAUUCAUGUUGGUAGCAAGGCAAUGAUUGAUGAGAAUAAGUAUAGUUGGCAGCAUGUGGAAACCCGAGGGAAGAAAUAGAAAAGAAAGUAUUUUUUUAUCAAAUACCAAUGAAAGUUCUAACAGAGACUACUGCAAGAUCAAACACAUUUAUAAGUAAGACUUGUAUUAACCAAGCAUGCUAAACCACUGACAGACUAUUCUUGAACUUAAGCAUGCAGAGAACCAUUUAUCCUUAAUGUACUAGAUGUGUCCAGAACAAUAUUUUGUGUUCCUUAUUAGACCAUAAUACUCUUCGGCAAUAGUUUUGCACAGAAAAACUGUUAUGUGACAGAUUGGGUUUGGGAGAGGACCUAAAGUGUAACAUUAAGGUUUGGGAUGUGAAACCCUCACCAAACAAUUCAAGAUUGCAUUGACAACUACCCCACUUGGAAAAAUUUUAAUGUUUUUGUAAUGUUUAAUGUGGACUAUACAUAAAUAUCAUCGAUUGUACAUUAAAAAUCAUCUUUAAAAUAAGUUUUAAUUAUUUUAAAAUAUUAUUUAAUAAUUAAACAGCAUAUCCAAUCAUUCUUAUCUAUGAAACUCAGACACUUCUUUUAAAUGAUGUAUCCAUGUCGGAUACACGUAUCAGUGUCUACGAGACACUUAUCGGUAAAGUGUUCAAUUCAAAAAAUAUUUGUGGGUUCUAAACACAAUUUUAAAAGAUAUAAAUACAAUAAUUUUCUAAAAACUCAAAUUUAUUGUAUAAAUUUUUAUUAUGAUUAUAAAAAUAAGGAACAAAUUGUUUUAACAGUCAUGAAAAAUAUCUUAAGUCAUGAAAAAUAUCUUAAUGCUCUCAAAAGAAUCUGGAACAUACUUUUACACAUAAAUAUUUAUUACACAAAUAGACACAUUUUUAUUAAAAGUUUGUAUAAGAUUGUAGUCAUAAAAGUAUUUAUAUUAUACAUUAAAUUGACACAUUUUUAUUAAAAGUUUGUAUAUAAGAUUGUAGUCAUAAAAAUAUUUAUAUGAUAUCUGUUCCACAUUGAUCAAUAUAAGAAAAACAAUAUUCAGUUUAAAAAAAAAGUUAAAUACAAAUAUCUAUAAAAAAGUGUUAAAACAUGUUUCUAUACUAUCAUGUUGAAAAAGAUAUAAAUGUAAAUCAUUGCAAAAUAUUACAAAAAAAAAAUUAUAAUUUAUAAAUACGUAUUUUAAAAAAUAAAACAGAAGGAAACAUUACCAAAAACCAUAAAAAAUAUAGAAACAAAUAAAUACGUGAAGGUAGACAAAAUAUUUUUAAACUAUAGUCAAAUGUGUAGAAAUAAUGGAGAAGUGUUACUCAUCCAAAAUAUAAAUGAAAAUUAAAGAAAAAAAUUAAACUAACAAUAUAAAAAUAAAUCAACUCUCUAAAAAUCCUAUAAGAAAAAACAUAAAUUUCUAUUCUUCCUUACUUCAAAAUUUAAAAAAAAAUAUUUUUUUAUAGCUUAGUAAAAGAGAGACUAAAUUUUGGAUUUUAAUUACUCAUACCAAAUCUACUCACAUUAUGUUCCAGAUCUAAUAAUCACUUCCAAGUAUAUUUCUAUUCUUCAAUUGAAUAUAUAAAAAAUAAUAGAAAAUAUAUUUCAAUUUUGACUUCCACUAUCUUGUAUUGACUGCGUUACGCUAGUAUAUAAUAAAUAAAUAAAAUAAUGAUGUAAAGAAAGUGUGAUUUGAGUAUUGUAUUAUGAUAAAUUAAUUAAACCUGAUUAAAUAUAAUUUGCCACUGUGUUCUUGACAUUGCAGACUUAAAAAAGUUGGAAGAUCAAUGAGAAAUUAUUUGAAUAAUUGGUUUUUUUACUAAUUAGUUCUGAUGUUAUGUUAUGCAUAAUUUAUGAAAACCGGACAAAUAUAAAAAAUAAAAGUGAGUGUAAAGCUGGCUGUAUUUAAAAAAGAACUGAUACAGUUAAAUCUGGAAGCGCUAACGUUAAGAAUAUCAUAAAACAGUAGAAACACACACGAGUGGUAGAAAUCAACACUGUAAUUUCAUAUUAUCUUUCAUUCAAGAAACUGUAAACAACCGGAUAUAUAGGUCAAAACCACGAACAGCAGGACCACAGAACCACGGACAAACAUCACCCAAAAUAGAACACCUAAUUUUAAUCAACUUAAUCAUAAACCCUAUUCUACAACACCAAACCCUAGUUCCAGCUACCAUCUCCUCCAUCGCCUCCACGAGAGUGGCGGGACCCACCAUCACCAUAACCACGGUCCCUGCCUCCACCGUAACCACCACCACCACCACCAUAACCACCACUGCGGUUAUACCCUCCUCCUCCUCCUCCCUCACGACGACCACCGUAGCCGCCUCCACCACCACCACCGUAGCCGCCGCCGCCACGGCUGUAUCCACCACCACCUCCAUAACCGCCUCCUCCACGGCCACCGCCGCCUCCGCCUCCUCCGCGAGACUGAGCUUCGUUCACAGUGAUGUUACGACCGUCAAGGUUCUGACCGUUCAUUCCUUCGAUCGCUUCUCUCAUGGCCUGCUCUGAGGAAAAGGUCACGAAUCCGAAACCCCUGGAUCUUCCAGUCUCACGAUCAUUGAUAAUCUACAAAUUAAAAUACCAUUGAUACAUCAGAUCUAAGACGAAACGCAAUAAAACAUAACCGAAUAGAACCCGAUCGAUCUUCGCCUUUGAACAAAGGAUGAAGAUGAACGUACCUAUUGGCGUGAGUAAAAAAAGAAUCAUAUAGUAACAAGUAGAAGUAUCAUAGAUCUAGUAACGCAAAAAAAUCAGAGAUCACAGAUCAGAAUGGGAGCGAGAAAUUCCGAAUCCGAAUCGUGUCAGAUCAGAUGCGGUCACUGCAACAAACAGACC
rnacentral:lncRNA from 1 species